UUCAUCACCUCUGAAGAGUCUCCAGUUUUCGGUGUUGUUCUCAACCUUCAUCAUCAUCAUCAUCAAGUUCCCCGGCCUUCAUCAUCCUUGAAGAGUUUUCAGUCUUGAUCAUGGUCAGAGCUCCCAACUUUGGUCGUCUUCAUCCGUGAAGAGUCUCCAGCCUUCAUCGUUGAAGAGUUUCCAGUCUUGAUGAUCAUUGAAGAGUUUCCAACCUUCAUCAUCCUUGAAGAGUCUCCAGUCUUCACGAUCCUUGAAGAGUUUCCAGCCUUCAUCCUCGAAGACUCCCCAGGGUUCCUCAUCAUCAUCCUCCACGGCUUCUUGGCCUUCAUCCUCCUCCUCACGGAGCCUCCAGGAGCUCUUGGCCUUCGUCGUCAUCCCUGGAGAGUCUCUGAUCUUCAUCAUCCUCAGCAUGGAAGAGCCCUUGGUCUUGGUUGGGGCUGGUCAGUUGGCCUUGACCUUCAUCAUCAUCAUCAUCAUCAUCAUGGAAGAGCCUCCAAGAGCUCUUGGCCUUCGGCCUCAUCACGGAAGAGCCGUUGACCUUCCUCAAGUUCGGGCAGUUGACCUUGACCUUCAUCAUCAUC
rnacentral:lncRNA from 1 species